rnacentral:rRNA from 1 species
UACCAGCACCCCGAGUGGUCGGGACGUUUAUUGGGACUAAAGCAUCCGUAGCCGGUUCUCCAAGUCUUCCGUUAAAUCCACCUGCUUAACAGAUGGGCUGCGGAAGAUACUAUAGAGCUAGGAGGCGGGAGAGGCAAGCGGUACUCGAUGGGUAGGGGUAAAAUCCGUUGAUCCAUUGAAGACCACCAGUGGCGAAGGCGGCUUGCCAGAACGCGCUCGACGGUGAGGGAUGAAAGCUGGGGGAGCAAACCGG